rnacentral:lncRNA from 1 species
AAUCGCGAAAUUACCUCGAACUACGUGCACCCAAAAACUUCCAAACACUCUACUACAAAGCCACCGAAAAUACGAAGCUCCCGCACUUCAAAUCACCUAAUUCGGACAAAAGAUGAGAGAGUUAUGAGGGUUUAAGUUUUGGGAAAUGUUGCUGGUUUUCUGCAUUAAAUAGCAGAUUUGCUGCUAAUUUUUUCCAAAACUAAAAACUCCGACAGAGUGCUCUGAACUCGUUCGGAACCCCGUGCACGCAAAUGAGAUAUGCAACCAUACCAAAUUCGAUAUUCCGGAUUCAACGGCGCAGUCGAAAUUUCCAUCAGAGGUAAUCUCGAUAAAAAGUGGAUCCCACUUCCAAAAGCCAUUUUAAGUCAAAACCCACAAAAGGGCUCGGAAAGAUAUCGAAAACCUCGGGACACAAAAGAAGGGUCAAUCUAGACCAAACUCGACAUUCCGGAGCUAACCGCUCUGACGGAAUUCUCAUCCGAGAGCGUUUACUCAGAAUGUUGACCAAAGUCAAACUUAGGCUUAAACUUAAAGUUAAAACGCCUAAUCGCACCGACUCAUACUGAAAACCUCGGGAGUCAUGUCGACCAUACUACUAGCCUAAAAUGACCCUUUCGGAGCUGAUGGAAUUGUCAGAAUUGGAUUCCGAUGUCAUCUUCUUGAACUUUUGAUCGAAAUUGAUCGUUCAAGGUUCAUAAGCUCCAAAACACAAAAAACUCGCACCAAGACCAAAACGAAAGACCAGGUGACCGAACUGUCAAUCCCAGCAAGUCAUAAAUGACUUGGGGUCGCUACAGGAACGCUCUAAAUGACACACAGAAGGCAAGACACAGAAAUGACCUGGAGGGUCAUUACAAAGGCAUGAUUUUCAAGAAAGCUAUCAGUGAAUAAAACAACAAAAACAGGGGCUUGGAUAAAAUAAGAAUAGAUUACACCAUGAUAAGUAAUAAGCAAUCAACAUAGCUCAAAAUAUAAAGAGAGCCUGUCAUACUAGACAAAUAUCCCACUUUAUGCAAUAACAAAACUAAAUUUAUCCAUGAGGACCUAAAUAUGACAACUUGUUAUAUUAGAGGGUCAAGAUAUUGGGGGUAAUAGCCAACUAAUCAUCGGAAGAAAAUAGUUGAUCAGUUGUGAACCAUAUUCAAAAAAAAUUGACUAGCAAGACAUCUUCUUGGAUGUUAAACCAAUAUAAAAUGUGCAAGUUAGAGUCUGUAAUACAAGCUAAUUCAUCAAACAAAAUCAGAAACUCAUAACGACAAAAUGACAAUGACUAACAACGAAGAACAACAAGUUAGAAACAAUAGAUUAAACCAACAGAAGGAAAGGAAGAAGUUACCUGUUUUGGAGCAGCAAACUGGAACAACAGCACUGCAGAAGCCCUCCACCACUAAGCUUCAAGAAUUUCGACAUAAGCGACGAACAAGAAUAAGAAAGUAGAAUCGAUUUCGGGUGUGUUUUGCUUUGUGACUUGAUGCUAAACUUUGUGAGUUUGCUCCCUUUGUAAGCUAUUUUCUAGACCUCUAUCAACUACCCAACCUUUUCUUUGUUUUUGCCUAAGCUGUUUCCAAACUGAAGAGAAAACGACCUGGAGGAUAGGGUUGAUUUAGAGGGGAAAACGGGAGACAUUUUGAAUGAAAUUCGAAAUUCGAAUUCCCUUGGAAGUUAAGAAAACUUGUACCAUUCUCAACGGAAAAAUGAAGGGAUUCGAGCAAAGGACGAUUGAGGCAUCAAGAUGCAAACACCUGGCUUACUCCCGUACGGAGAGGAUGACACGCACUGCUCACUGGACUCGGACGCGCUGGAUUUUCCUGGGUUUCAUUGUGGUCGCUGCGCGAGGAAGAAUAAACGUAGGC